AGCUCCAAUAGCGUAUAUUUAAGUUGUUGCAGUUAAAAAGCUCGUAGUUGGAUUUCGGGCCCGGGCGACCGGUCCGCCGUUUCGGUGUGCACUGGUCGGCCUGGUCUUUCUGCCGGGGACCCGCUCUGGACUUAAUUGGCUGGACGGGGAGUCGGCAACGUUACUUUGAAAAAAUUAGAGUGUUCAAGGCAGGCUUAUGCUCUGAAUAUUAUAGCAUGGAAUAACACGAUAGGACUCCGAGCCUAUUUUGUUGGUCUUCGGGACCGGAGUAAUGAUUAAGAGGGACAGUUGGGGGCAUUCGUAUUCCGAUGUCAGAGGUGAAAUUCUUGGAUUAUCGGAAGACGGACUUCUGCGAAAGCAUUUGCCAAGGAUGUUUUCAUUAAUCAAGAACGAAAGUAGG
rnacentral:rRNA from 1 species